ACAAAACUCACAUUGUAUUACAUUGUGCACAUGCUUAUUGGGUUGCUUAAUUUUAAUAAGGUUACUAACUUGCUCCUUUGGAUUUUUUGUUUCAGAAAAUUUCCGAGCUCUUUGUACAGAGGUUGCAUGAUGAAAAUGAAGGGUGUUCGAUCUAUUAACAGAGAAAGCAUCUUUUUGGCUGCUGCACCACAGGUUAUGAUUGAAGAUAUCAGGAAGCAGAUUAAGCAACUAUAAACCUACAAGGUGCAGGAGAUUGAAUUACUUGAGUAGAAUUGUUGAACUGUAAUUUGUUAUACUUUAGAAAUUUGUUUGCUUAUGUAU